GACGUAGGGUCCAAGCGUUGUCCGGAUUUACUGGGCGUAAAGAGCGCGUAGGCGGUUUGUUAAGUGUAGAGUGAAAUCUCCAGGGCUCAACCCGGAAACUGCUCUGCAUACUGGCAGACUGGAGUGAUGCAGAGGUUUGUGGAAUUCCUGGUGUAACGGUGAAAUGUGUUGAUAUCAGGAGGAACACCCAUGGCGAAGGCAGCAAACUGGGCAUUAACUGACGCUGAGGCGCGAAAGCGUGGGUAGCAAACAGG
rnacentral:rRNA from 1 species